AACUUAUCAAGAGCGGCUGAGGGACUGGACCGAUGACGCCCGGCAACCUGCAUAUGAUGCAAGGUGCCGCAUCCAGAAAAAUGCAUGUCAUUUUGAAGAUAAGGG
rfam:Bacillus sp. NRRL B-41092 Bacillus-sp-B-41092_contig_13, whole genome shotgun sequence.